rnacentral:rRNA from 1 species
AUUGAACGCUAGCGGGAUGCCUUACACAUGCAAGUCGAACGGAGUGGCGUACGGGUGAGUAAUGUACCGGUACGUGCCCAGUAGCGGGGGAUAACUACGCGAAAGCGUAGCUAAUACCGCACACCAUUGGCGCGGCCGUUAUGGGUUUAUCUAGUUGGUGGGGUAACGGCUCACCAAGGCGACGACCCGUAGCUGGUUUGAGAGGACGACCAGCCACACUGGGACUGGGACACGGCCCAGACUCCUACGGAGGGCAGCAGUGGGGAAUUUUGGACAAUGGGGGAAACCCUGAUCCAGCAAUCCCGCGUGUGCGAUGAAGGCCUUCGGGUUGUAAAGCACUUUUGGCAGGAAAGCGGUACCUGCAGAAUAAGCACCGGCUAACUACGUGCCAGCAGCCGCGGUAAUAC